GAUUGGGGGGAUGAGAAUCGAACCCCCAACCACUUGAGAGGGGGGGGGGGGGUGGGGGAUAAGGAUCGAACCCCCAACCACUUGGGGGGAGAUGGAGGGACUAACCAUCCCUCUAUUUCCUAGAGGACUUCUCUGCCUCGAGCUACUAGAUGUGUGGAAGCCUCUGGUAAGGUUAAAGUUGUCAAUAGCCACUAUGUUAGGACAUAACAUGCAUCAUCCAUUUGGUAAGGGCAGUAGAGUAAUUUUAUGUAUAAGGCUUGUUUCAGAAGCUUUAUGUUCUAGGGGGGCACGUGAAGCCUUUUCAAAUUUCAAGGAGGCUUUUCAAAUUUCAUUUUCAUCCCACACUCUCUCUCUCUAAGCAAGGGUUUACUCGGUUCCUUAUAGUGAGUGGUUGGUACUUCGUCGUCGUAGUGAGCAGAAUUUGGUGUUGUGAACGGUGUUUUAGCGAAAUUGGUGGGUGGUCUUGCAAAGAUAGUCGUGUGUUUAUUAGUAGCAGAACCAGGGUUACUGACAUGGUUCGUAAAAGGAGUGCCCCUACAGUUGGAAGUAGGGCAAAACUUGGGGUGAGUUGUAUUAUUUCAAUUUUAAGCAAUAAGGUUAUUGUUAGGAUGUAAUGUUAUGUUCCAUACAUAAUUGUGUGGUGAGUAAUGUGAUUAUUCUGUCCUUGGUAUGGUAAAAACAACUGACUAUGAAUGAAGUAGUGAUGGGGCAACUUGAGGUUGCAGAGAAAUCAAUAUCCGGCGUGCGUGGAGAAAGUAGUCGUGUGGUUGAAAGAAGACCAAAAAGAAAUCAAAAUGGUGAACCAGUUUUGAAUGGUCAGGUAAAUUACAUGGAACAAUUGAUUGCUGAAGAGUUUGGGGAACCCUGUGGGAUCAGAUGAGCAUGAUGCAUCAGAAAACGAUGAUCUGGCCAAAGGGCACUAAGGAUGAUGCAUCAGAAACUGAAGCAAGUUAUCGAGUAGAGGAUGAAGAGGUUGAUGUUGAUCAUGUAGAAGAUGAGUUUGUAACUAUGAAGAGUAAAAGAGCAAAGGGUAAAGGUGUAAGUGAGAGCAGUAGGCGUUCGGCAAUGGAUAAGCUAUGAAAAGUGAGGAAAGCUGUGUUGGGGAGACUGACUGAUCCACAAUAGCAGCAAGUGGUGCCCGAUAAUCGACUUUUGGGAGUGAUUGUGAAGGAGAAGGAGAGGGUUACUGAGACCCAAGUAUUCAAUUGCGUGAGGAGGCACAGCCUGCAAAUGUGAUAUGCCGUGUGGAUGCAUUUUCGAAAUUGAUAGCAGAAUUAGAUCCAUCUAGGCGUACUGUGGUGCAGGAGAUGGGCUUUGGUGCACUACCGAAUCUUAAAAUUAAUCGCUUGGAUCAAAAGUUUUGUUAUUGGUUGCUGACAAGGGUCAAUCCAGAUAGUUGUUUAAUGGUAUUUGGAGAUAGGAAGGACCUGCCUUUAUGUCUAAUACAGUGGAAUUUAGUGCUUGGCAUUUCUUACGGGUGUGAGACAGUGUCAUCGGUAUGUGAUGGGGUUGAUGAAACUAUGCAAGAAAGAAUUAGAGCUGUAGGAGCUUGGUUUGGGAAGGUAGAUGCUCGUGGAAGGACACAUCUAUCAGUAGGAGAAGCUGAGAAGGCGUUUGUCACAAAGUUGGAUAAAACUAAAGGAAAGUUAAGAACGGAGGAAGAUGUUAUGCACUUUAAGUUAGCCUUCCUUGUUGUUGGUUUAGGGCAGCUACUAUGCCCCAUAACUGAUGGGGGAAUCUGUCAAUUUAUUCUUUGCUUCUGACAAUUUCAGUUGCCGCGGAAGCAGAGAAUUAUAACUGGUGUGAUUUUGCCUUUGAUCGGUUGAUGGCGUAUGUGUCGAAGUUUAAGGCUAAGUUGAUAAGUACGGUUUUGUGGCGGGUGCGGUGGAUGUACAUAAUUUCUAAUGAUAAUUGAUCAGUUUACAUAUUUUGCAAAAAGCACUACUGUUUUAAUUAGUAGUUGUUAUUUAAUUUUAUUUAUAACUGUUAUAUUUUUGUGUAUGCAACUUUUUACAUUGAUCAUUUGAGUCUGACUCCACACUAUUGGAACGAGACUCCUCGGAUCAAUGUUUAGACAAUCGACAGUUAUGAGUGUUAUUGAAGCAAAUAGGAAGGCCUCUGGUGAUUAUGGGAAGGUGAAGGUGUGUAAGGAAAAAUGUUUUGGUUAAAUUAAUGGUUAAUGUAAAUGUUUUAGUUUUUGUUAAUUAAGGUGAAGAUGUUUGAUGUACAUUAUGAUUUCUAGUCCAUUGAUGUUGCUUAUGGAGAGAGGCAUCCUCGUAUAGCAAGGGGCAAAAGGGUUCCACCUGAUCUGAUGGGGAAGUCUAGUGAGGAUGUUAUAGUACGGAGGGUGUUGAGAGUGUUGGAUCCUCGACUAGACAAGAUUGAAAUGAUGUUAGAGAAACUGACAAAGAAGCGUGGUAAGGCGUUUGGCCCUUCUGAAAGAGUAGUACAACAAGUGAUUGGAAGUCCAACAAUGUUUCCUGAAAAAGAAAAAGGUGAAGGUGAUGUGGACUGUGGAGGAACCUGUUGGACCUCUUGCGGAUACUUAACGUAAAAUAGCAGCCGAAGCUAUUCAUUGUAAUGAAAAUGGUGUUGUAGGAGACAUGAACAAUGAGUCUGUAGUAGGUGGAGUUGGUAGCAAAGCUGGAGGUGAUGUUACAAAUGAAAAUGCAGUAGGGAGCAAUGUUUUUGCUAGGUAGAAAUUGAGGUAGGUAAAAUGAAUGAAGCAGAGACAGGAGCAGUUGGUGAAGUAGGAGGUCAAAGAAAUUGAGCAAAGAGAAUGUUGAGGCAGAGGGAGGAGGUGCCCCUGGAGAAGUGUCAAAGGGAGGAACUGAGAAUGUUGGGCUAGAGGGAGAAGUUGGUGAGAAUAAGAAAACUGGGAAAGCACCAAUGGAAAAGAGUGCAAGUAAACGAGUUCAUGGUGAAGUUGUUGUACCUGCUGAAAAGGCAAGGAUUUUGGGAGUGGUAGCGAGGAAGAUUUUAACAAUGAUCAGGAAUUUAUGUCCUAAGACAGACAAGACCCGGGGUAUAUCGUUAAUCGAGUGUGACGGUAUGGAUGCUACAACUACGGACUGUCAUGGAGUGCUGUUCAUGCGAGAUAGGGUAGGCUCCAAGUAUGUGAGUAUGGCUUCCAAGCUGUACACCUCUAAGUGGGCCAAACAAUAUAAGGGAAAGAGCAAGAGGAUCAUGAUUGAUGUAACUUUCUCGGAACGUGUGAUUGCUGAUGAGGAAACACCUGAGGUGGCAGCAACCAAACAUGGGGGGAUUUUGAAAGGUUUGAGUUGCAAAAAUAUUACAGUGGCGUCUGCAGUUGAUGUGUUGCCGAACACUUAUGACAAGUCUUGGACAUCGCCCACCGUAACAAAGUCGCCCACCCAAAAUGUGGAAGUGAAGCAAACUGAUAAGUAAGUUUGGUGUGCUAGAAAGUCCGUUUCCUUGCAAUAUUAUGUCUUUGCUAUUAAUGUUGAUGCCCUCCCCUGUUAUGUACAACAUAGUUGCGGAAUAAUUAUUUUGUUAUGUAUUAAAGAAUGUGGUUAUCGCUUCAUGGAACGAUUUUGAGUGGUAAAUAUUUUGCACGCAUCCAGUUUACAUAAUUUCUAAAAGUUGUUUUGAUAAAUUAGGAUUAAAUGUAACACUCUUCUCUUUUGUAAAAUAAUAAGACAGCUUGAAAGAUGCUAGGGAUGGUCUGCUAUUUGACGAUCUGCACAGUGAUUGUAAUGAAUUGAAGCCAAAAAUUGAAGCUAUGGUUUCUGAUGUGAAGGAGUUAAAGUAGAUAUGGGGUUUUUUUUUUUUUUUUGUGUAAAAAUUGUUAGGGUACUGGGUAUUCUGAAGUUGAACUAUGUAGUUAGUGUAUUUAUUUUACUGUGGGACAACAGUGUUGAAUUGAAUUGUGGUGUUGGUAUUGUGUACUUGGUUUAUUAUUACAAACCAGGUAAUGUUGGUGGUUUCUGACUAAGUAAGCAAACUUGAAGCUGUUGCUGCUUAGUUUAGUUUAAAUUCUAGGAUCUGGAUGUCUAACUAUUUUGACCAAUGGCUUAUUGUUUAAUAGCUGUUUAAUAUUUGGUAGGUUUAGGCUGUGUAUAAGCAGGUUUUUGAUGAACACGUAACUUUUGUAUCACAUGAGUGAACAGGUGUUAUUGUACAUUUUAAAGGGUAAGACUUAUUUAUAUAAUCUAAG